GAUGAUAAUGUUCUUCUGUUUUUGGGAUUUCGCUGGCCAGUAUGAGGAUUGUACGUUUCAUACUGUGGCCAGAGAAACCCCCAAAACAUAUGAACAGCUUU